rnacentral:rRNA from 1 species
GACGAACGCUGGCGGCGUGCCUAACACAUGCAAGUCGAGCGAAGUAUAUUUUCGGAUAUACUUAGCGGCGGACGGGUGAGUAACGCGUGAACAAUCUGCCCCAUACAGAGGGAUAGCCUCGGGAAACUGGGAUUAAUACCUCAUAACACUUUAGUAUCGCAUGAUACAGAAGUCAAAGCGAAAAAGCGGUAUGGGAUGAGUUCGCGUCUGAUUAGCUAGUUGGCAGGGUAACGGCCUACCAAGGCGACGAUCAGUAGCCGGCCUGAGAGGGUGAACGGCCACACUGGAACUGAGACACGGUCCAGACUCCUACGGGAGGCAGCAGUGGGGAAUAUUGCACAAUGGGGGAAACCCUGAUGCAGCGACGCCGCGUGAGUGAAGAAGGUCUUCGGAUCGUAAAACUCUGUCCUUGGCGAAGAAUAAUGACGGUAACCAAGGAGGAAGCCCCGGCUAACUACGUG